GCGCAGGGAAUCCUGCAGGAUGAGAUGGAGAAGAGAGUGUGUGUCAUCCAGACCAACUUCCUCCAGUACAGCGCGCUCACCGGACUCCACUGCCGACCACACACACAAACAUCAGCAUUGAGUGCAAGGAGGCUUUUGGAGGAGGAGCUGGAGAACCAGGAACCAGUGAAGACACUGCAGCAAAAGUCAAGCCAGACUGCAAUGGAAGACCUGAGGCAUGAACAAGACAAGAAAGAGCUUCUAGUUCACCCUGAAAAUGCAAGUCUGCUUUCCUUUCUCAACUCGUCUGCUAGGUCUUAUGGCACAUCAUCUUGCAUGGUGUUUUGUCCCACACUUUCAAUUGGACUUUCUUUUGGAACAGGAGAGGAACAUCAAGGGUUGGAGGAGAGUGGAUGGGGCAAACCUCGGCCAGGUGGAGAGGGUGAGGGCCAGCCUGGAGGAUGCCAUCAAGAGGAGGGAUGCGGAGAUCAGCACAGCCGGCAUGCAGCUGGAGGCCAAGCAGGAGCAGAAUGCCGGCCUGCAGAGGAUGGUCGAGAAGCUGGAGGUG
rnacentral:lncRNA from 1 species